rnacentral:tRNA from 1 species
GGUCGUUUAGCUCAGUCGGUUAGAGCAUCGUGCUAAUAACGCGAGGGUCGCAGGUUUGAGCCCUGCAUCGACCA